GAGGAUAAUACCCCAUAGGUCACCUAUGCUGGAAUGCUUGGUGACUGAAAGUUCCGGCGGCACAGGAUGUUUCUGCGGCCUAUCAGGUAGUAGUCAGGGUAAUGACCUGACUAGCCUACGACGGGUACGGGCGUUGAGAGACGUUGCCCGGAGAUGGACUCUGAGACACGAGUCCAGGCCCUACGGGGCGCAGCAGGCGCGAAAACUUCGCAAUGUGGGAAACCACGACGAGGGAACUCCAAGUGCCAGCACACAGUGUUGGCUGUUUUCAAGCCUAAAAAGCUUGAAGAGUAAGGGCUGGGUAAGACGGGUGCCAGCCGCCGCGGUAAUACCUGCAGCUCGAGUGGUGGUCGCUUUUAUUGGGCCUAAAACGUCCGUAGCCUGUCAUGUAAAUGCUUGGGUAAAUCGAAGGGCUUAACUCUUCGAAUUCCGGGUAGACUGCAUGACUAGGGACCGGGAGAGGUUAGAGGUACUCCGGGGGUAGAGGUGAAAUUCUGUAAUCCUCGGGGGACCACCAGUGGCGAAGGCGUCUAACUAGAACGGGUCCGACGGUGAGGGACGAAGCCCUGGGGCGCAAACGGGAUUAGAUACCCCGGUAGUCCAGGGUGUAAACGCUGCGCGCUUGGUGUUGGGGCGGCCACGAGCCGGCCCAGUGCCGGAGAGAAGUUGUUAAGCGCGCUGCCUGGGGAGUACGGUCGCAAGACUGAAACUUAAAGGAAUUGGCGGGGGAGCACUGCAACGGGUGGAGCGUGCGGUUUAAUUGGAUUCAACGCCGGAAAACUCACCAGGAGCGACUACCGCAUGAGACUCACGCUGAUGGUCUUAGUCGAUAAUCACGUAGAGAGGUGGUGCAUGGCCGUCGUCAGUUCGUACCGUAAAGGCGUUCUGUUAAGUCAGAUAACGAACGAGA
rnacentral:rRNA from 1 species